GUGCCUACGGGGGGCAGCAGUGAGGAAUAUUGGUCAAUGGCCGAGAGGCUGAACCAGCCAAGUCGCGUGAGGGAAGAAGUAUUUCGGUAUGUAAAGCUCUAUCAGCAGGGAAGAUAAUGACGGUACCUGACUAAGAAGCCCCGGCUAACUACGUGCCAGCAGCCGCGGUAAUACGUAGGGGGCAAGCGUUAUCCGGAUUUACUGGGUGUAAAGGGAGCGUAGGUGGCAGGGCAAGUCAGAUGUGAAAACCCGGGGCUCAACUCCGGGAGUGCAUUUGAAACUGUCCAGCUAGAGUGCAGGAGAGG
rnacentral:rRNA from 1 species